AGAAGUGGGGGGGGAGGGGGAGCUGGUAUUGGUCCUGCUCUUAGCUGUGCAGCUUGACUGCAAAGUAGGAGCAGUCUGCUGCUGAGGAAGCCAUGGCUGUGCCACUGUACAUUAUUCUGCCCGCCUGACCAUCUUGACUGAGUGAUUUUGGUCAAUGAACUUUUACUUCUAUGGAGUUACUUCAGUUAAUUUGAAGAGAAAGCUAUGAUUACACAGAGCAAAAGAAGCAAGAAAAGACAAAGGGAAAGGUGGUAGAGUCCUUCCUUAUUCUUCUCUGGUAAAAUGUGAUGUGAUAUACUUGCCUCAUGAUCAUUAAAGAUGUUCCCAGACCCAGAGAAGAGCUGUGGGAAAGCUUGUCUCCCUUGCCCACAGAAGCUGGGAAAUACAUUACCUCACCCACCAAAUAUCCUGGGAUUGAUGUGGCUAC